AUUGAACGCUGGCGGCAGGCCUAACACAUGCAAGUCGAGCGGAUGAAGGGAGCUUGCUCCUGGAUUCAGCGGCGGACGGGUGAGUAAUGCCUAGGAAUCUGCCUGGCAGUGGGGGAUAACGUCCGGACACGGGCGCUAAUACCGCAUACGUCCUGAGGGAGAAAGUGGGGGAUCUUCGGACCUCACGCUAUCUGAUGAGCCUAGGUCGGAUUAGCUAGUUGGUGGGGUAAAGGCCUACCAAGGCGACGUUCCGUAACUGGUCUGAGAGGAUGAUCAGUCACACUGGAAGUGAGACACGGUCCAGACUCCUACGGGGGGCAGCAGUGGGGAAUAUUGGACAAUGGGCGGAAGCCUGAUCCAGCCAUGCCGCGUGUGUGAAGAAGGUCUUCGGAUUGUAAAGCACUUUUAGUUGGGAGGAAGGGCAGUAAGUUAAUACCUUGCUGUUUUGACGUUACCAGCAGAAUAAGCACCGGCUAACUUCGUG
rnacentral:rRNA from 1 species